rnacentral:rRNA from 1 species
UACGGGGGGGGCAAGCGUUGUUCGGAAUUACUGGGCGUAAAGGGCUUGUAGGUGGCCAACUAAGUCAGACGUGAAAUCCCUCAGCUUAACUGGGGAACUGCGUCUGAUACUGGAUGGCUUGAGAUUGGGAGAGGGACGCGGAAUUCCACGUGUAGCAGUGAAAUGCGUAGAUAUGUGGAGGAAUACCGAUGGCGAAGGCAGCCCCCUGGGAUAACACUGACGCUCAUGCACGAAAGCGUGGGGAGCAAACAGG